rfam:Zea mays cultivar B73 chromosome 5, whole genome shotgun sequence.
GUGAGAAUCACAGUGCAGUUCUCCUCUGGCACGAACCAAGGCUGAGCAGCUUGCCCCAUGGCUAGCCCACGACGGCCCUUCCUUGCCAAAGGAGAAUUGCCCUGCCAUUCACAA